UGGGGAAUAUUGCGCAAUGGGGGGAACCCUGACGCAGCCAUGCCGCGUGAAUGAAGAAGGCCUUCGGGUUGUAAAGUUCUUUCGGUAUUGAGGAAGGUUGAUGUGUUAAUAGCACAUCAAAUUGACGUUAAAUACAGAAGAAGCACCGGCUAACUCCGUGCCAGCAGCCGCGGUAAUACGGAGGGUGCGAGCGUUAAUCGGAAUAACUGGGCGUAAAGGGCACGCAGGCGGUUAUUUAAGUGAGGCGUGAAAGCCCCGGGCUUAACCUGGGAAUUGCAUUUCAGACUGGGUAACUAGAGUACUUUAGGGAGGGGUAGAAUUCCACGUGUAGCGGUGAAAUGCGUAGAGAUGUGGAGGAAUACCGAAGGCGAAGGCAGCCCCUUGGGAAUGUACUGACGCUCAUGUGCGAAAGCGUGGGGAGCAAACAGGAUUAGAUACCCUGGUAGUCCACGCUGUAAACGCUGUCGAUUUGGGGGUUGGGGUUUAACUCUGGCGCCCGUAGCUAACGUGAUAAAUCGACCGCCUGGGGAGUACGGCCGCAAGGUUA
rnacentral:rRNA from 1 species